UACAGAGGUCUCAAGCGUUGUUCGGAUUCAUUGGGCGUAAAGGGUGUGUAGGUGGCGCGCUAAGUCGGGUGUGAAAUUUCGGAGCUUAACUCCGAAACUGCAUUCGAUACUGGCGUGCUUGAGGACUGGAGAGGAGACUGGAAUUUACGGUGUAGCGGUGAAAUGCGUAGAUAUCGUAAGGAAGACCAGUGGCGAAGGCGGGUCUCUGGACAGUUCCUGACGCUGAGGCACGAAGGUCAGGGGAGCAAAACGGG
rnacentral:rRNA from 1 species